UUGAUACCGACGCCGAAUCCUGCCUGGUAGCAAAGAAAAACCGCUUGGCAGGAGCGGGGGACCCAUGAAAGUGGCCCAGAUUUUUGGGCCUUGGGGUGAAGCCGACUAGGAAACUAGCCGGCCGGGCCAUACUCCGGCCCGAACCCGACAGCUCACCUCGAAGGCGUCGGAGAGGGCAUCU
rnacentral:sRNA from 1 species